CCUACGGGUGGCAGCAGUGAGGAAUAUUGGUCAAUGGACGAGAGUCUGAACCAGCCAAGUAGCGUGAAGGAUGACUGCCCUAUGGGUUGUAAACUUCUUUUAUAUGGGAAUAAAACGUUCCACGUGUGGGAUUUUGUAUGUACCAUAUGAAUAAGGAUCGGCUAACUCCGUACCAGCAGCCGCGGUAAUACGGAGGAUCCGAGCGUUAUCCGGAUUUAUUGGGUUUAAAGGGAGCGUAGGUGGAUUGUUAAGUCAGUUGUGAAAGUUUGCGGCUCAACCGUAAAAUUGCAGUUGAAACUGGCAGUCUUGAGUACAGUAGAGGUGGGCGGAAUUCGUGGUGUAGCGGUGAAAUGCUUAGAUAUCACGAAGAACUCCGAUUGCGAAGGCAGUUCACUGGACUGCAACUGACACUGAGGCUCGAAAGUGUGGGUAUCAAACAGGAUUAGAUACCCUUGUAGUC
rnacentral:rRNA from 1 species